rnacentral:rRNA from 1 species
AUUGAACGCUGGCGGCAGGCCUAACACAUGCAAGUCGAGCGGAUGAAGGGAGCUUGUUCCUGGAUUCAGCGGCGGACGGGUGAGUAAUGCCCAGGAAUCUGCCUGGCAGUGGGGGAUAACGUCCGGAAACGGGCGCUAAUACCGCAUACGUCCUGAGGGAGAAAGUGGGGGAUCUUUGGACCUCACGCUAUCAGAUGAGCCUAGGGCGGAUUAGCUAGUUGGUGGGGUAAAGGCCUACCAAGGCGACGAUCCGUGACUGGUCUGCGGGGGUGAUCAGUCACACUGGAACGGAGGCACGGUCCAGAGUCCUAAGGGAGGCAGCAGUAGGGAAUUGUUGGCAAAGGGGGGAAGCCUGACGCAGCCAAGGCGCGUGGGGUGAGAAGGUCCUCCGAGUGGAAAAACCUUUAAGUUGGGAGGAAGAGCAGUAAGUUAAUACCUUGCUGUUUUGACGUUACCAACAGAAUAAGCACCGGCUAACUACGUG